GCACGAGCCGAGCUCGUCCGGUCAGAGAGGACCGCUAACUCAUAGCCGAUGGAGCACGAGCCGAGCUCGUCCGGUCAGAGAGGACCGCUAACUCAUUGCCCGACGUCUCGGGCAUCCCGUUGCGGCAGGGCAUCCCAAUAUAUUGGGGCAUCCUGACGUCUCAGGGUAGGAGCACGAGCCGAGCUCGUCCGGUCAGAGAGGACCGCUAACUCAUAGCCGAUGGAGCACGAGCCGAGCUCGUCCGGUCAGAGAGGACCGCUAACUCAUAGCCGAUGGAGCACGAGCCGAGCUCGUCCGGUCAGAGAGGACCGCUAACUCAUAUCCCGGNN
rnacentral:lncRNA from 1 species